rnacentral:rRNA from 1 species
UACGUAGGGGGCAAGCGUUGUCCGGAAUCAUUGGGCGUAAAGAGCGUGUAGGCGGCCUGAUAAGUCGGCUGUGAAAGUCAAGGGCUCAACCCUUGAAUGCCGGCCGAUACUGUCAGGCUAGAAUCCGGAAGAGGCGAGUGGAAUUCCUGGUGUAGCGGUGAAAUGCGCAGAUAUCAGGAGGAACACCCAUGGCGAAGGCAGCUCGCUGGGACGGUAUUGACGCUGAGACGCGAAAGCGUGGGGAGCGAACAGG